AACCUAAAGCUGCGCGGCCUCGUCGGCUUGUCACCCCUAUCUCCGGUGACUCCGCGGCUGCGCACUUCCAACUCCACCCCAGCCCCGCGAGCGAAGCUGCCGAAGACCAGCAAGCGUCCCCCUCUCCCCCCGCUUGACCAGAUGGACGGCCGCGUGAAGGUGGUGGGGCAAGUGGAGCGGGUGGUAGGAGAGUCGCUGACCUACGCGGAGUUCGUGAAGCGCUUCAUGGCGCCCAACCGGCCCGUCGUCCUCACGGGGCUCACCUCCUCUUGGCGGUCCCGCGAGGACUGGACGCUCCCCGGACCCGGCGAGCGUCGCCGCCCUGACCUCAGCUUCUUCGCCCGGAACUUCCCCUCUCCUCUCGUCCAGGUCGCCGACUGCUCCUCGACGGAGUUCACGGACCAGAAGCGGUUUGAGAUGUCCAUGCUUGAGUUCAUAGACCACUGGGUUGGGGACUCUCGCGGUGGCUCCAGCGAUGGGGAUCGCGACGGUUCCCUGUUGUACCUCAAAGAUUGGCAUUUCGUUAAGGAGUACCCUGAUUAUGUUGCAUAUACCACACCAACAUUCUUUGUUGAUGAUUGGCUCAACACGUAUCUUGACAGUCAUCCUAUACAUAGAGAUUCUGACAUCACCAAUCAUAAAAAUGAAAUAAACUGUUCUGACUAUCGGUUUGUUUACAUGGGAGCAAAAGGAACCUGGACUCCUCUGCAUGCUGAUGUUUUUAGGUCAUACAGCUGGUCAGCAAAUGUUUGUGGGAGAAAACUAUGGCUGUUUCUACCACCAUCACAAAGUCAUCGUAUAUUUGAUAGGAACAUGAGAUCCUCAGUCUAUAACUUAAAUGAUGAUGUUUCUGAAAAGCAGUUUCCUGAAUUCAAUAAGACAGAAUGGCUAGAGUGCAUUCAGGAGCAGAAUGAAAUCAUAUUUGUGCCCAGUGGAUGGUAUCACCAAGUCCAUAACCUGGAGGAUACUAUAUCUAUAAAUCAUAAUUGGUUCAAUGCCUACAACCUCCAUUGGGUGUGGAACUUACUUUAUGAAGACUACAAAGUUGCAAAAGAAUACAUUGAAGACAUUCGAGAUAUAUGUGAUGAUUUUGAAGGGCUUUGUCAACGGAACUUGGCAGCUAAUACAGGCAUGAAUUUCUAUGAUUUCUUCAUUUUCAUAGUUCGGUUUGCUUUAGCCAAUGUAAUUGAGCUUUACCAUAUUCGGCAGCCAGAGUUUGCUACGUUUUCAACAGAGACUGCACACCAUUUUGUUUGUAAUCUGACGUCAAUUCGUAAUGUUGCAUCAAAAAUGAUAGCUACAGAGGCUUUCACUACUGAGAAUCUUUGUAGUAUCUCAGAAGAUAACCGCAACGCUUUCUCCAAUGUCAAACAAAUAUUAGAAGAGGAGAAUUUCAGAAGGCUAUCGAUGGCACUGUCAAAAGCAUAUGAACAUGACAGAGGGCAAGGAACUUGUCUCAAAUCGUGGGCUUCAGAUCCGAAGGGCUGUUUGUCAGUGACCUGCUUGAAAUCUGAUUGUAAUGUUGUUGAUCACAUUACUUCUUUGAUUUAUGAAGUUUGUGGACCUGAAGAUUUGGUGAGACUAAUCGAUAGUGCUCUCUCUGAUGGAUAGUUCUGGCAUGGUAAACUUGUGCUUGCAUGAAUCCUGAUUCCUGGGAUACUCUGGAUACUCGAUCACUGUUAAAUUUUCACAGCCUGUCCAUUUUGGAAGGACUAUUGUGCAUUGCAUUCCCAUUGGUUGUCUUUGCAGUGCUUACGUUUCAUGAUUACAACCUCCAACCUUGAAGUUUGCUGAUGUGACAUUGUGCAUAACAAUGAAAGUUCAAAAGAUUGCACCAUUUCAUGGCAAUCAGAUUGUUAAAGUCUUGCAUGUAGAAGAAGCUGUCACUAAGGAGCUAAUUGUUGGUCAAUCACUCACCUUUCUUAGAUCUGCAUUCAAGGUGGAUGGAAAAAAUUGACACUGCUUAUAUAUUCAGAUGAUGAAUCCAAAUAUUUUACUACAUUCAACCAAUCAUAGAUGGCAAGGUUGCAAAAGAUAAAAAAUACUAGGUUUUUUUUUCAUAGUUGCUAUGGAUGAUUUCAUUUGCAAAUCAGUGAUUUCUUUUGUUUGCUUUCUUUGUUCUAGCAGACAGGUGGAAAAUCUUGAAAGCAUAGAGUUAAGGGCAGUUUUCUACCAAUCAAGGCUUCAAUCAGUGCUAGCUAUGUUUGUAAGAUGUACUGGACUAUAAUAUGAUGACAAGUUUUAAAAACGAGAACCACUUGAGAUAUCUCGACUCUUCAAGUGUUCAUGCAAGUGAUCUAGAAGCAAGAGCUUCUCGGUUUUGUUGACAGGAGUUGUCGAAAUGUUAUUGCCUGCAAUUACAGCCGUGCCCAAUGUGACUCUCACCUGGAAGGGACAAAUUGUAGUGCUGCAAACCUGAAGCCAUGUCCAGAGGCAGAGGUAUUAAGGCUCGGACUUCUUGGUGGUCUACAGUAAACUGGAACAAACGGGCGAGGUGGUCCUAGUCAGUGAAGGCUGGGAAAAUGGAUUAGAUGCUUCUGCUUUACUGCAACAUGGAUGUAACUUGGACGUGAAGGAAGGGACAGAUGCCUUGGGAGAAAAAGAAGAGAGAAAUUAUACUCCCUACAGUUCUAGAUCCUAGAGAUACAGGAUGGCAUUCCUACCAAUUCCGUCGUUUCAUUGGUUUUCUUAUUCCUUUUCACUUUCUCUUAAUACGCGAUUGAUUGUUUCCCGAGGUGUUCGAUCCUCUUGCUUCAAAUGUUAGUGCCACAUGAUUUUAUUUUUCGAGGCAUUUGAUUGCUCCUUGCUUGAAUGUUAGUACAAGAUUUUACAUGAGGUGCUGUUGCCUGGCGUUGAAGCGCGGCACAAUUUUUUUUCUCUGUUCGCUGAAAUGACGUUAUAUUUUUCUUUUCUUCCUAACCGUUGGAGACUUUGAGUCAGAUCCAAGGAAGAACAUGA